UCGCGGUAAUACGUAGGGUGCAAGCGUUGUCCGGAAUUAUUGGGCGUAAAGAGCUCGUAGGCGGCUUGUCGCGUCUGCUGUGAAAUCCCGGGGCUCAACCCCGGGCCUGCAGUGGGUACGGGCAAGCUAGAGUGCGGUAGGGGAGAUUGGAAUUCCUGGUGUAGCGGUGGAAUGCGCAGAUAUCAGGAGGAACACCGAUGGCGAAGGCAGAUCUCUGGGCCGCUACUGACGCUGAGGAGCGAAAGCAUGGGGAGCGAACAGGAUUAGAUACCCUGGUAGUCCAUGCCGUAAACGUUGGGAACUAGAUGUAGGGCCUGUUCCACGGGUUCUGUGUCGUAGCUAACGCAUAA
rnacentral:rRNA from 1 species